UAGUGUCGGAGUCCCUGAAGAAGAAGUGGACUCCUGCCCGUCACCCUGACGAAGCGGCCCGAUAACUCUGGAGGAGGUCGACGUUGAAGCUGAAGCUGAACCUGAACCUGAACCUGAAGUUCACAUUCCUCAACCUAAUGACAAAGGAGAUAAGAGGAGGAAGAACAACAACAACAGAAACAGGAAUGCGAAUAAAAAACUAUGCAAGGAUCUGAAGACGAUGACGAAGUUGUAGAACACAACAAUAAGAGAAAAUCAACAGUGGGGAGGUAGAGAAAACUGAGAAACGAAAGAGAAAACAGAAGAACAAGAGGAAAAACAAGAACAAUAACGCACA